AUUCUAACACUGGAAAUUAACAAAAGCAUCAUCCCGUUGACUUCCGACGACUUGGAGGAAGACGAAAAAUGGUAAGAAGUCAUUGUCAGGUUAAGGGUCCCAUUUUCAUAAUUUUCUUUUAGUUAGCAAGAAAACAAAACAAUGUUAACAUUGAUUUACUUUACGAGUUCUGCUAUUUGCCCCGGAUCAAACCCCGAAAGCAACAAACGAACGACGCCGUUUCAAUCUCAUUUUUUUUCCCUCUCAUUCAACCUAAACGACGUCGUUUUGGAAAAGUUGUUACAGCCGAAAUGGGUUUCUCUUUGUUUUCGCCUCACAGCCCCUGUCCCGUUCGUUUCAGCUUGUUUGAGGCAAAAUCAACGGCCCCAACUCUCUCUCUCUUCGUUUUCUCUUCAGUCUCACUACAACCCCAAAAUAACUCAAAUUCGCAAAGUUAUACAAUCACUUCCACAACAGUUAAUAAUGAACCAAAAAUAUGCCCAAAAACUGUAAUUCGUAAAGCUAUACAAUCACUUCACAGCAGUUAAUAAUGAACCAGAAAUAUGCCCAAAAACUGCAAUUCGCAAAGCUAUACAAUCACUUCCACAACUAAAAAUCUGCCCAAAAUAACUGCAAUUCGCAAAGCUCAAAUGUGUUGUUAUAACACAAGUUAUCACAUUUCAGUCAUGAGCAAAUGGCACGAAGCUGAAACGAAGUUGUUGAUUUCAGUCAGGAGAAAGAAAGCAAUUUGGGGAUGUUGUUGAUUUUGCCCUAACGACGCUGAAACGAAGGGGAGGAGAAACAGAGGAAUAGAAUGAGAAAGGGGAUGUGAGACGAAGACAAAGAGAAACCAAUUUCAACAAUUUCAACUGAAUUUUUAAGGGGCUUGGUUGACAGGAACCCAAAUUAUACUUUGACAUUUGCUGGGCAUUCAUUGGGGGCAGGGGUGGUGGCAUUGUUGGUGUUGAUUGUGGUUCAGAAUCUGGACAAGUUGGGGAACAUUUAGAGGAACAAAAUCAGAUGCUUUGCUAUUGCACCUACUAAGUGUAUGUCACUGAAUUUGGCAGUGAGAUAUGAAUGGAUCGUGAAUGGCUGUGAGACAAAGGGGAAGACGGAAGAGAAAGAGAAAGCAAUGGUUUUGCCUUAGCCAAAACGGCGUCGUUUAGGGAGAAUGAAAGAGAAAAAAAAAAAAGAAUGAAACGACGUCGUUUGGAUGGGUUUCGGGGUUUGACCCGGGGUUUGAC
rnacentral:lncRNA from 1 species